rnacentral:rRNA from 1 species
AUGGCGUCAUGGUCAUCGUCGUCCACGCAGCGGAGCAGCGGCGCGACCAUGCCGUGCUCCGUGGUAAAGCUCGACGACGACCUGCUGCGCCACGAGGAGGAGGCCGCCGAGGAGAUCCGGCGCGGCCCGUGGACCGUGGAGGAGGACCUCACACUCGUCAACUACAUCGCCGACCACGGCGACGGCCGCUGGAACUCCCUCGCCCGCGCCGCCGGGCUGAAGCGGACGGGGAAGAGCUGCCGGCUGCGGUGGCUGAACUACCUCCGGCCGGACGUGAAGCGCGGCAACUUCACCGCCGACGAGCAGCUGCUCAUCCUCGACCUCCACUCCCGCUGGGGCAACAGGUGGUCCAAGAUAGCUCAACACCUUCCUGGGAGGACCGACAACGAGAUCAAAAACUACUGGAGGACAAGGGUGCAAAAGCACGCCAAGCAGCUCAACUGUGACGCCAAUAGCACCAAGUUCAAGGAUGCCAUGAAGUAUCUAUGGAUGCCUCGCCUCGCUGACCACCACCUCCAGCAAGCAUCUACAGUUGGUGAUCAUCUUGUGCCUGGGCUACCAACGGCCUACAUGGAGAGCUCCGGCAUGGUGACAUCGUCGUCCGACUCAUUCGCAUCGGAGUCAUAUGAUGGUGCACGCUGUGCAAAUGCGAGCGUGGGAGAGAUGAUACACAGUGGGGAUUGGGUUGAAGAGCAGAAUCAAGGGUUUUGGCCUGAGUCAAACCAGACUUUCCAGCUUCAAGACUCAGACUUGUCUGGAUGGGUACAAGGGUUCUCCGAGUCCGAGAGCCUCACUGAGAAUUUUUGGAGUUUGGAGGACAUUUGGAAGAUGCAAUGA